AGGUGAGUAGCUCAAUUGGCAGAGCACCGCUCUCCAAAAGCGGGGGUUGUGGGUUCAAGUCCUAUCUCACCUG
rnacentral:tRNA from 1 species